rnacentral:rRNA from 1 species
CCCAGCUUGCUGGGUGGAUCAGUGGCGAACGGGUGAGUAACACGUGAGCAAUCUGCCCCUGACUCUGGGAUAAGCGCUGGAAACGGCGUCUAAUACUGGAUACGAACCGUGGAGGCAUCUUCAACGGUUGGAAAGAUUUUUUGGUCAGGGAUGAGCUCGCGGCCUAUCAGCUUGUUGGUGAGGUAAUGGCUCACCAAGGCGUCGACGGGUAGCCGGCCUGAGAGGGUGACCGGCCACACUGGGACUGAGACACGGCCCAGACUCCUACGGGAGGCAGCAGUGGGGAAUAUUGCACAAUGGGCGAAAGCCUGAUGCAGCAACGCCGCGUGAGGGAUGACGGCCUUCGGGUUGUAAACCUCUUUUAGCAGGGAAGAAGCGAAAGUGACGGUACCUGCAGAAAAAGCGCCGGCUAACUACGUGCCAGCAGCCGCGGUAAUACGUAGGGCGCAAGCGUUAUCCGGAAUUAUUGGGCGUAAAGAGCUCGUAGGCGGUUUGUCGCGUCUGCUGUGAAAUCCCGAGGCUCAACUUCGGGUCUGCAGUGGGUACGGGCAGACUAGAGUGCGGUAGGGGAGAUUGGAAUUCCUGGUGUAGCGGUGGAAUGCGCAGAUAUCAGGAGGAACACCGAUGGCGAAGGCAGAUCUCUGGGCCGUAACUGACGCUGAGGAGCGAAAGGGUGGGGAGCAAACAGGCUUAGAUACCCUGGUAGUCCACCCCGUAAACGUUGGGAACUAGUUGUGGGGUCCAUUCCACGGAUUCCGUGACGCAGCUAACGCAUUAAGUUCCCCGCCUGGGGAGUACGGCCGCAAGGCUAAAACUCAAAGGAAUUGACGGGGACCCGCACAAGCGGCGGAGCAUGCGGAUUAAUUCGAUGCAACGCGAAGAACCUUACCAAGGCUUGACAUAUACGAGAACGCUGCAGAAAUGUAGAACUCUUUGGACACUCGUAAACAGGUGGUGCAUGGUUGUCGUCAGCUCGUGUCGUGAGAUGUUGGGUUAAGUCCCGCAACGAGCGCAACCCUCGUUCUAUGUUGCCAGCACGUAAUGGUGGGAACUCAUGGGAUACUGCCGGGGUCAACUCGGAGGAAGGUGGGGAUGACGUCAAAUCAUCAUGCCCCUUAUGUCUUGGGCUUCACGCAUGCUACAAUGGCCGGUACAAAGGGCUGCAAUACCGUGAGGUGGAGCGAAUCCCAAAAAGCCGGUCCCAGUUCGGAUUGAGGUCUGCAACUCGACCUCAUGAAGUCGGAGUCGCUAGUAAUCGCAGAUCAGCAACGCUGCGGUGAAUACGUUCCCGGGUCUUGUACACACCGCCCGUCAAGUCAUGAAAGUCGGUAACACCUGAAGCCGGUGGCCC